rnacentral:lncRNA from 1 species
GAGCCACAUCUGAGACCUACACCACAGCUCACUGAAACACUGGAUCCUUAACCCAUUGAGUGAGUUGAACCUGCAUCCUCAUGCUUACUAGUCAGAUUUGUCUCCACUAGCCAAGACAGGAACUCCUGCCAGGUUCCUUUUAAAGCAGGCAAGCGGCAAACACUUUUUUCUAAACCGAAUAAAUUGCCUAAUCCUAGAAGACAAAAGCCAGAGAAAUGGGCACCUGGAACCAGGAACCGCAGAAAAAAAUUUCCAAGAGGGAAUAUGCAAGCGGGAGAUAGGUACAUAGGGAUGUCUCAUCAAGGAAGAUUCCACGCAGGAAAAGUUCUCCAAGGAAGUUCCUUUAUUAAUGGACACCCCAAGAGCAUUUAUCAAACCCUUACUGCGUGACAGAUAUUUGUAAGAAUGUAAAGUGUGUUAGAUCUCAUCCUUGGUCCCAAGCCUGCCUAGUGGGGAAAAUAGAUACAGAAAUCUGUCAAGACAACGCCGAGUGACAAAGGCUGCGCUUCAGAUGUGCACAAACCAUGGAGCAGAUGCUUUCCAUUUUGCCAGGAGGGAUGGGGACAAGCAUCAAAGAGGAGAUGAUAUUUGAGCUGAGUUUGUUUUUCAGGAGGAAAAUGGGGAAAAGGGUUUUUCAGGCAGAAGGCACAGGCCAGGCAGAGCAGCAGAGGCCAGGAAGAAUGGUGCCCUCGGGGGACGGCACACACUGAUACGUAGGGGAGAGGGGUGGGGGUGGGGUCGUGCUAGGAAGUUGAGCAGAACCAGAUGGUGAUCAUUUAGCCAACACUGGUGAGCACCGGCUCUGUGCUGAGGCCGGCCCUGCAGAGGCCACUGCACACAACACAGAAAUGGCUUCUGCUCUCCUGGACUUGACAGCUCACAGUGCAGGAGCGGUAGGGAAAACACAAACGGACCAAUGGAAAAAGGCUCAGCACACUCUAACAGACAAUUAGCUGAGCCUGCAGGAGAGCGAGAGCCUUACCUUCAGGUUCACCUCUCGGAGGAGGGGAACCUAAUCCAACAAGGAGGAAAAGAAGGGGAGAGUGGAGAGGACCUCAACCUGAAAGAGAAGAUUAGGCAGGGACCCCCCCCCAUGGGGGAGGGCACAUGGCAAAUUCAAGAAACCAGUGGCAGAAGGAAUUAAUAAAAGAACAGUCACACAAUUUGACAAGAAGGGACUGGAAAGGCAAACUGGCCACAGUGCUUGGGUCCUGCAGGCCAUGCUGGGUGUUUGUCUUGAUGCUAAAUGCAGGGGAGCCUUUGGGGUGGGGGCUCCCGAGCAAAGGGAUAGCAUGACCUGGUUUGGAGUAUUUUCUUUUCCCUUUUCUUUUUUUCUUUUCACAGCCACACCGGCAGCAUAAGGAAGUUUCCAGGCUAGGGGUGGAAUCCAAGCUGCAGCUGCUGGCCUACACCGCAGCCACAGCAACACCAGAUCAGAGCUGCAUAUGUGACUUAACGCCACAGCUCGAAACCAGUGCCGGAUCCUGAACCCACUGAGCGAGGCCAGGGAUCAAACCCACACUGUCACAGAGCCUAUUUCGGGCCUUUAGCCUGCUGAGCCACAAUGGGAACUUCCUUUUGUUUUUCUUUAAAUGGAUAACUCCAGUUCCUUAAUUUAAAAAAAAAUGGAUUGAAAGGAGAUUGGAGACAGAUUCUCACUGGAGGCUUCAUAAUCAUCCUGCUGAGAAAAAAAGCCAGGCUAGAACUGAUGUGCUGGCAACACGGACGGAGGGAGCAGUCCCAAGAGAAGGUCUGCCUUAGGAAAACACCUCAUGAGGAGCCCCAGACAGCAACUUCCUCCUUGCAUAUAUAGCAAGUUCUCUUUCAGGAUGUAUAUAAUGAAAAGAGUACCUUUCCUCUUCUCCAUCUGCCUUAAUCUGCCUGAAUUCACAGUUGCAGUGCCACUUGGCCCCAGGCAUAAGGAAGCUCUACCCAACCCACACAGGCACUGAUGCUGGCAGACACUGGAAGAGGCAAGGGUAACACACAGAUUUUCCAUUUUGCCACUGCUGGGAGGCCCUAUGACAACCUGUCCAGCCAAGUUUCCCAUCAGCCUGAACCCCUGAGGAGCUGGGAUCUGAGGAGUACUGGGGAAGGGAUGGCUUGACAAAGAGAAGGGCCGAUGGCACGCAGGAGACAUGCAGCUGCUCCCUCCUCUCAAACCCUCUAGGAUGCCUGUCCUGUGAAAGACACCUUUGGGGAUUUAACAGGAUUUUAGGACAGAGUUUUUACUGGGGUUUUCAAACCUUUCAAAUCCCAGUCCUAGAUCUCAAAGAUCUCCAAAGAUCAUUUACUCUAACCCCCUUUUUUGACAGAUGGGCAAACUAAGAUUCAAGAAGAAUGACUUAUCUGAAGUCAAGAAGCUAGUUUUUUAGCAGAGGAGGAGCUGCAGGGCUGGUCGUAAUUCUCAGAUCUGAGCCCUUUCUCUAUGACUCCACACACAGUCCCCUGGAUAAUUUGUCAAGCAUCUAUUACACUCUGGGCUCUUGUUCUCCAGGCCACUAGAGAAAUGCACUUUUGCAGAAGGAUAUCCUAGGCUUAUUGAGAAUCUUGAACAUCGUCAUGGUCCCAUGACACGGUGAACUCCUGAGAGCAAGGGACACGUCUUGUAGCCUCUACAUAUCCAGUCAAGGAACCAGGAAGAUAGUCCCGUUUAUCACUGCAGAGAAUAAAGGGAGGCAUCCUGUGGUGGCUGAAGAUGGUUCGCAGCUAUAAAAUGGGGCCAAGUGCUGUGUGGUGCAGAGAGUGUUCCAAGCAGCUCUGCUAUGCUGGAGGGUCUCCGAAUGGAGACUCUGCAGUAAUCUUUCUGGCUCCCUCGAGGGCCUUGAGUACUACACCAGGUGGAGCUGAUGGAUGUGUCGUCUGGUUCUACCAGCAAAAGUGAGGUGUCUUAUUUGCUCAAACCUGAGGGCACAGCUUGCUAUCCCAGCAUAGUUAGAGGUGUGGCCCUGGCCAACCAGCCAUGAUUCAUGUCUCCAGGAAAAGACUUCUUUGCUCCAGCCUUUGGACUAUUGCUAAGGGGUUAAUCACGCAGACUUCAGAGCCAGACCAAUGAGCUUAGAUUCCCAUCUCUGCUGCUCACUGUGAAGCCAAUUGCUUGACUCCCUCAGCUUUGAUUUCUUCAGGUGCAAUGGGUUCCUCUUGCACCACUUUGAGAGGCAGGACAGCUGAGGCCUCUGGCUGCUUCUCUCAUCCAUCUAGACUCACUUCCAUAGUGAUCUUACCCAGGGCUUUAAAUACGGUGCACAGGUCAGAGAUUCUUACAUGUUGAUCUACCCCAGACCUCUCCUCAAACCCUAGAGUCACAGAAAGACAAACACUGUAUGAUAUCACCUAUAUGUAGAAUCUAAAAUGUGGCACAAGUGUGCCUAUCAACAGAACAGAAACAGAGUCACCAACAUGGAGAAAAGACUUGAGGUUGCCAAAGGGAUUGGGAGAGACAGUGGGAUAGCCUGGAAGUUUGGGGGUAGUAGAUGCGAACUAUUACAUUUAAAAGGGAAAAGGAAAGUUCUCGCUCAGUGAUAAUGAACCUUGCUAGUAUCCAUGAGGACUCAGGUUCAAUCCCUUGCCUGGAUCAGCGGGUUAAGAAUCUGGCAUUGCCGUAGCUGUUGUGUAGGCCAGGCAGCUAUAGCUCCGAUUUGGCCCCUAUCCUGGGAACCUCCAUAGGCCACAGGUGCAGCCCUAAAAAGACAAAAAAUAAAAAUAAAAUAAUAAGCAAUAAGCAAUGAGGUCCUGCUAUAUAGUACAGGAAACUAUAUCCAGUCUCUUGUGAUAGAACAUAAUGGAAGAUGAUAUGAGAAAAAGAAUGUGUGUCUAUAUAUAUACAUACACAUAUACAUACAUAUGUAUGACUGGGUCACUUUGCUGUACAGCAGAAAUUGACUCAUUGUCAAUGGGAACAUACUUCCCCUGGUUACCCACAUGACUUGCCCUCUCAUUCUUUUCAGAUUUCUGCUCAAAUGUCACUUUGUCAGAGAGGCCUUCCCUUAUCCUCCUGCAUGACAGCAACCUCCCUUCUUGCACCAUCACCCUCCACAUGCUGCUUUAUUCUCCCUCAUCGUCUUACUGCCACCUGAAACAGUCAUUCAGUUGUUUGUUAUCUGAGAGCAAGGACUUGACCCUGAUCACCACUAGGUCGCCAGCAUCAGAAUUGUGCUUGGCCCAUAGAGGGUGUUUAUAUAUUUUGUUGAAUGAAUACAUUGGAGGUAAUCGAUUACUUAAUAAGUAACAGGAUGUGGAGGGAUGGAGUGGGAUGGUGUGUGUAAAUCCUCCUGCAUAUUGUCUGUAGCUGAUCCUUCUCCCAGGGGAGCUUCCAACAUGAUGGCUGGUCAUGGUCAGUGAUGGAGUCAAAAAACCACUCCAGCCCCAUUAUGCAAGAAUGGCGAACUUGAACUUCUUCCAGUUCUUGUACUAAGAUUUAUCUUUUUUAUAUUAUUUAAGCAAACCGACAAAGUGCUAUUCCUGAUGGUAUAGCUGCAGGAACUGAGGUUUGGAGGGGUUAGAAAUGUAGAUUGCACAUGUAUAAAAGAGCUUGUAUGUAACACCAGUGCAAUGACUUCUCUGUCCAAAGGUCUGCCUCUGGCAGGCAAUUGAGGACCUGUUGGCCUACUAGGCCUCAUUAGACCCCAACUAUCCCUACAGGCCAGAUUUUAAAAGGCAAAGAAGAAGGAACUAUAAGAACAGAGUGGGGUCCUCUUCCAAAAAUUGGGCCUGUGAAGAAAACAGCCCUUAAAACUUUAAUUCUUCCAUCAUAGAGGAAAUUAGGUCAGCCACACAUGAACCUUUCCAAUACUUCUUUAGAGAAAAUCUACCAGGGAAGCACCAAAGUGGCUAUGUAUUUGAGCACACAGGUAAGAUUUAGCCUGCGUUUCUACUUCCAAAUCUUGCCAAGUUGUCCUCUGUCAGUUGAAGGAAUAUGGCAAUAAAUAGAUUCAGGCCUCACACACACACACACGACAGAAAUAACUGCAGCAACUGUGUCACUAGGUUCAGACUCACAGAUACAAGGCUCCCAAGGACUUUAAAGAUGUGACCCCAGGUCUCAGGUUUCCUAAGCAAUUCUGAAUCAGGAAGAACAAACAACUGUAAGAUCAAAGGCAUUGAAAUGAUGAGAGUGAAAGAGGAAGAGCACCAUGUUGGGAGGCUAAAAGCUCAAAAUAGAUACUGUUAUGCACAGAUAGGGAAGGGUGUGUAGCAUGCACGUCAUGCAGUGUUUUGUAUGUAAAGAGAGAGAUUCUGCAAGCAUGUAUAAUAAAACAUCAAAGGACUUAUCUCUGAAUAGUGGGAACAUUCAUGGGAUUUUUAUCUCUUUUGUCCUUAUCUUUAUUUUUUUUUCUGCAAUGAACAUAUUUCAUUUGUAUAAUAAGAAGGAAAAAGAAGCUAUUAGCCAGAAGAUAGAUAGCAAGCCUCACCAUUGCCCGGACAGCAUGGUCCCUGGUUUCAAGCAGUCCACCAGCAAGUCCAGCCUCCCCCAUGCUGGUAGAGGUUGGAGCUUGGCCUUUCUCCCAGUUUGCUGGGCUCAAAAGCGCCUGAUUCCUCAACUUUAGCCCUCUUCUGACCCAAGCAUAUACGUCACUCAUCCUAACAUGCACAUUUUUGCUUUGAAAAAUUAGCCUUCAUAAAAAUAAUAAUAAAAGAGAAAUUCGCAAGUAUCAGUCCCAUGGGAAGGGAAAUGAUCAACCGAAAUAAUAGGUGAGAUAUGCACAUCACAAUGAAAGUGAUCAGCCAUAUGUCUCCUAAUAAUUUUUUUUUUUUUUUUUUUUUUUUUUUUUUUGCUUUUUAGGGCUGCACCAGAAGCAUAUGGAGUUUCCCAGGCUAGGGGUCGAAUCAGAGCCACAGCUGUCAGUCUACACUGCAGCCAGAGCAACU